AUUGAACGCUGGCGGCAGGCCUAACACAUGCAAGUCGAGCGAGCGGCGGACGGGUGAGAAAUGUAUGGGGACUGCCCGAUAGAGGGGGAUAACUACUGGAAACGGUAGCUAAUACAGCAUACUAUCGGAUAACCCAUAUGGGAUUAGCUAGUAGGUUAGGUAAUGGCUCACCUAGGCGACGAUCCCUAGCUGGUCUGAGAGGAUGAUCCGCCAAACUGGGACGUAGACACGGCCCAGACUCCUACGGAGGCAGCAGUGGUGAAUAUUGCACAAUGGGCGCAAGCCUGAUGCAGCCAUGCCGCGUGUAUGAAGAAGGCCCUAGGGUUGUAAAGUACUUUCAGUCGGGAGGCGUUACCGACAGAAGAAGCACCGGCUAACUACGUGCCAGCAGCCGCGGUAAUAC
rnacentral:rRNA from 1 species